rnacentral:lncRNA from 1 species
ACUAUCAAAUCAAUUCGUCGUCGAGAAUUGAAUAGUAUAACAUAGGAAGUUCUUUUAUCCAUACCGCCCCAAACUUGGAUUCCUGACCCAAUCCAAAGAUCCUUUAUUUAUUUAUCAUUAUCAUUUUUUAUCAUAUGUUCUUUUUUUCUCUCUAAUCUAUCUAGUUCCUUCUUAUACCAUCAUCUGAUGAAGUCUCAUCAAAUAGCUCUUCCACUUCCAGUGGUCACAUAGUUACAAACCCAACAAACAAUAAAAGCUAAAUGGAAAAAGAAAGGAGUUUAGAACUAAACUAUUUUUGACUUUUU